GAUUGAUUACAAAGAACAUGAGGGAUUUUUAUUGUGAUUGGAACUGUUUUAUACAUUGUUUAGGGUGGUAGCUACCAGAUUAUAUGUGUUUGUUAAUACUCAUAGAACCAUAUGGCAAAGGGUGAAUUUUAUAGAAUGUAAUUUACACCUUAACAAACCCAUCUAUACCUAAAUAAAUAAGAACACAAAGAAAACAGCUCAAAAAAAAAAAAAAAAAAAAAGAAAAAGAGAAAAAAACAAAGCCCCAAGCCAAUCAAAAUUUCCAACUCUUGUCUAAUAACUGGAAUGAUAGAA
rnacentral:lncRNA from 10 species